rnacentral:rRNA from 1 species
UACAGAGGGGGCAAGCGUUGUUCGGAAUUACUGGGCGUAAAGGGCGCGUAGGCGGCCUUCUAAGUCGAACGUGAAAUCCCCGGGCUCAACCCGGGAACUGCGUCCGAUACUGGAAGGCUUGAAUCCGGGAGAGGGAUGUGGAAUUCCAGGUGUAGCGGUGAAAUGCGUAGAUAUCGGGAGGAACAUCAGUGGCGAAGGCGGCCCUCUGGUCCAGUACUGACACUCAAGUGCGAAAGCGUGGGGAGCGAACAGG